rnacentral:pre_miRNA from 1 species
GCGGCUCGCCGGAUCUAGCGGCAGAGCUCGGGCUCCCGAUCCGGGCGAGCUCAAGCUCUGUCGCCAGAUCCGGCGAGCUCGA